AAAGACGGGGACAGAAAUUUUAAUUAUAAUUUGUACCUAAAUUACCCCAUUCUAAUUUUAUAAUUUCAAAAUUACCCUUAAUGUAAGUCAGGGCUUCUUGAUCAACCCUCGUGACUCAUCUUCUCAUUCUUCUUUGGAACAGCCACUGCAGCCGCUCAACCAUUCUUCUUCAAGAACAGCCACCGCGUCGCCGCUGGCCUCGCCACCGCUAGGAAAAUUGAAGAACGAAGUUGCCGCCUCUCCCCGAUUGCUGUCCACCUCAACCAUCAACUCCUCCUCCGAACUGCUCUGACCCAGGUUAGUUUUAUACAAAUGUUGUUUAAUUUACUGAUUCCUUUCAUCUUUUCCGUUGUGCC